rnacentral:rRNA from 1 species
GACGAACGCUGGCGGCAUGCCCUACACAUGCAAGUCGAACGGUAACGGGCCUUCGGGUGCCGACGAGUGGCGAACGGGUGAGUAAUGCAUCGGAACGUACCUUUCAGUGGGGGGAUAACGUAGCGAAAGUUACGCUAAUACCGCAUAUUCUGUGAGCAGGAAAGCAGGGGAUCGCAAGACCUUGCGCUGAUUGAGCGGCCGAUGUCAGAUUAGCUAGUUGGUGAGGUAAAGGCUCACCAAGGCGACGAUCUGUAGCGGGUCUGAGAGGAUGAUCCGCCACACUGGAACUGAGACACGGUCCAGACUCCUACGGGAGGCAGCAGUGGGGAAUUUUGGACAAUGGGGGCAACCCUGAUCCAGCCAUGCCGCGUGAGUGAAGAAGGCCUCGGUUGUAA